rnacentral:snoRNA from 1 species
AAGCAUAAUAAAAAAACAAGGGGAGUUU